rnacentral:rRNA from 1 species
GUGGGGAAUCUUGCGCAAUGGGCGAAAGCCUGACGCAGCCAUGCCGCGUGGAUGAUGAAGGUCUUAGGAUUGUAAAAUCCUUUCACCGGUGAAGAUAAUGACUGUAGCCGGAGAAGAAGCCCCGGCUAACUUCGUGCCAGCAGCCGCGGUAAUACGAAGGGGGCUAGCGUUGCUCGGAUUUACUGGGCGUAAAGGGCGCGUAGGCGGACAUUUAUGUCAGGGGUGAAAUCCCGGGGCUCAACCUCGGAACUGCCUUUGAUACUGGGUGUCUUGAGUAUGAGAGAGGUGUGUGGAACUCCGAGUGUAGAGGUGAAAUUCGUAGAUAUUCGGAAGAACACCAGUGGCGAAGGCGACACACUGGCUCAUUACUGACGCUGAGGCGCGAAAGCGUGGGGAGCAAACAGGAUUAGAUACCCCAGUAGUCC